UAGAGGUGGGAGCUGGGCAAAGAGGCCGGCCUGCAGAGAUGCGGCUGGGAGUGAUGUGGCUACAUGGGGCAGCAUCGUCAGCACGGGCAGAGACGGUCAGAUCUACACGCUGCGGCGUGGAGAGAGCUGCGGAGCCGCAGUCAGCAAAGUUUCACGCCUAUUUGUGACCAGUGUAGCCUGCUGUCCCACUUAAUAGAUAAAGCAACUGGAAAGGGCCAGAGUUGUGGUGCAGCAGAUAAAGUGGUCGCCUGCAAAGCCAGCAUCGCAUGUGGGCACUGAUUUGAGCCCCAUCCGGUUCACUUCUGAUCCAGCUUCCUGCUAAUGUGCCUGGGAAAGCAGCGGUAGAUGGCUCAAGUCCUCGGUGGGCCCCUGCAUCCAUGUGGGAGAUGUGGGUGGAGUUGCUGGCUCCUGGUUGUGGCGUGGCCCAGCCCCAGCCAUUGCAGCCAUCUGGAAAGUGAACCAGUGGAUGGAAGAUCGGUCUCUGUUUUUCCCUUUCUCUGUA